AAAGGCAGUGGUGCUUAAAGCUGUCAAUUGGCAUGGGCAGCUCAUCGCAGGUCGAGGCUGCAGGUGCUGAGGUGCUUAUUUUCCAUGCCAGCACGCUCGAAACAAACUUUUCAGGGUGUCCAAGAAUAAAACAUGGCAAAUGGGUGCUUAUCAGAAAAUAAGAAGCGAUUGUCCUUAACCAGGUUUCAGGGACUAAAAAGAAGCAAAAGAAAGGUGGUGGUUAAAGCUAUGGCAGCACUGAGUCUUGUCCAAGCAUAAAGCUAGGCUUUCUUG
rnacentral:lncRNA from 1 species